UACAACCACCCAGCCAAACUACGGGCGUCCGGGCAAUCCAAGAGUCUGCCUCCCAAUUGGGUAAAGCCCAGAAGCCACGCCCAACAAGGGGCACGCUGAUUGGCGAUGGGCAGACCAAUGAGAAGGCAUGGAACAAUGAGAAGGCAGGACGCAGGCAUUGAGGGAGCCCGGAAGCCAGGCGGUGUCAGUGACAUCUCGUGAGCAGACUGUGGUGAGGGUGGCGGUGUCCCAAAGGCCUUGCUGUUCCUGUGGCCCCAGAGCACCACCCUUCCCUGCUGUAUCAAUUCGCUCUCAGGCUCAAAGCUGAGAGUGGCCCCCUCGGCUGGGCUUGGCUGGGCUCGGCUCUCCUCUCCCACUGUUACCAGGACGACUGUCUCCCCACAGCCUGGCUGUCUAGACUGGCGGGCGCCAUGAGCUCCACGGAUGAAGUGUCCGUUUGCAGGGCUGGUUUAGGCCCAGAGGGUGGCGAGCAGGCCGGCGCCCACACCGCCAGCCCGGGAGCCCCACGGGGUGACGGCCACGGCCGAGACCUCAAUUUGGGGGGGCAGCACAGUGGCAAGGGCAAGGGCAAGGGCGAGAGCGGGUUCACAGAUCCCGAGAGCUUCAGCUUCGAGCCUGAGAGUGAAUUGAUAGAGCAGGGAAGGGUGGUGCUCUGGGGCCAGGAAGGCCGGCCUGGCACCCCGGUCGACGACCAAGCGGGUGGUGUGGACUACUCUUUCUACCUGGCUGAUGAGCCAGCCACCAUCAUGCCGCCAUCCAGCGUCCAGGGACACCCGUCCCCAGAAGGCGCCACUGCCAAAGGGUCCACUGACAUCUGGGCGGACCUGGAGGUCGGUCCCAGUUGGAGAGGUGCGCUGAGCCCCAGCCCUGGAGAAUGGCAGCAGGCCUCUGCCCGCCCUCUCCACCUCAGUGUUCCUGGGCCAGGACCGGCCUGGGAGAACCCAGAAAGGGGCUCGAAGAGCAGAUUGAGCGUCCAAGUGGAUCCCCAGCAGCCCUCCGCGGAAGGCCCCGCCAGGCUGAAUACUGACGACUCUGAUUCCGCAGAUGAGAGCAGCGACUUACCGGUGAUUAGGGUGAUCAUUAGCACCAAAGAAGGAAGCCAGGCCAAGCCCGGAAGCCCCAAGAAGCCAGGAGACACUUGCAGACGCCCCAGUUUCCACCGCAGGGAGAGUUACCUUCAGGUUCAGGGACCUCUCCUGACCUCUCCUCCCCGCAGACUCACCCCAGUCGUGGAGAGGCCGGCUGUGGGAGAGCUGGACGUGCCUUCCUUGAAGAAAAUGCAGAGCAUGGUGUGGGGAAAGAGGGGGGUCAGGCCCAGCUGCUCAGGAGCUGCCGUUAGAGGGCCCCUACCCCGGGGCACUCUGGGAAGGAAGGUGGCCCAGGAGAAGAAAUCCCUAGAGGGUGCACCAGAACUGGCCCUGCGGGGAGCCUUUCCUGCCUGGGGGCAGAGACUUUCAGCAGUUCCACCUGAUCCGGCUAGCUUCCCACCAGUGUCUGGCGUGGGGCUCCUGGGGAAGUCCGUGAGACCCAAGGAGCCCAAGCACAGCAGCCCUGGGAAGAAACCUGCAGGAAGGAAGACCAGGGAGUCCCAGGCUGCGGCCAGAGAAGAUAAUGACCCAAAUAGAGAUGAGGUCCCAAGGGCCCAACUUCCCACACAGAAGCCAGAGCUGAUUUCUCUGUCCAUGCGUCGUGGAGAAUACAGCAGUGGUGAUCCCAACAUCAGAGCUCCCCAAGUACUAGGAACCUCACAGCCCUCGGCCUUUACCUUGAGACGCCUGGUGCCCAGAUGCCAUGCACCCUCCGGUGACUGGCAGCCACCUGUCCAUCCCCCAAGACCGGAAAGGCAGCAGCAGCCCCCGGGAGCCCAGGGCUGUCCUCGGUGCAUCUUGCUGCAGAGGGAAAUUGAAGACCUUAGAGACCAACUAGGUAUGAUGGAGCACUGGCUGGGGCAGGGAUGGACAGUGGUGUCGUUCUGCAGGUGCCGGUGGUGGGGGUGGACUGCAGGUAUAGGUGCUGUCACUGGGACUGACUUCCUCUGGGGAAGAGAACCAAGCAGGCCUGGCCCUGGAGCCUUCUGUGCCUUUUCAGCUAGGGGUGUGCACAGACAGCAAUGUGUCGUCUGAACUCCGUGUACACUUUGUCUACAAGUCCCAGAGAUCUUCUCUUAGGACGGUUAGAGAUACCUUAUGUGUUUUCCUUUAACUGCUGCCUGGUACUGCUUGUAUGGUGUUUGCUUGCUGGCUGGCUUAUCUGUCUUUGAAACAUGUUCUGAAUGGUUCUGGGAUGGCCCAACACCUGAGAACCACUUUCCCGCUUAGAAGGCAUUUCCACAUUUAAUUCAGGUGACGGGUGGAUGAGUCAGUCCCAGGGCUGGUGGGGUUUCUGGUUGCAGGGCUAGGUUGUUCCCCACGGGGGCAGGGCGUGGGUUUCUGUUUCCCUGGGUCUGGAGUGCCCAGUUCUGUCUCUCUGUUUCAGCGGCCAUGCAGUUCCUCACUGACAAGUUCCAGGACUUGUGAAGUUGGAGCCAGCAUCUUCCUACAAGAUGAGCAGCUGCUACCUUUGGAGCUCCGGAGCUGCAGCUAAGCGGGUUCCCUCCAUAUCCUGUUCAGCCAGGGCUUCCUCUCUUCCGCUGCAUUUGCCCCCUUCCCAACACAGUUCAAAGCAGUGUGAAAUAAAGUUGUUCUCAUAUUC